GACGAACGCUGGCGGCGUGCCUAAUACAUGCAAGUAGAACGCUGAAGCUUGGUGCUUGCACCGAGCGGAUGAGUUGCGAACGGGUGAGUAACGCGUAGGUAACCUGCCUGGUAGCGGGGGAUAACUAUUGGAAACGAUAGCUAAUACCGCAUAAGAGUAGAUGUUGCAUGACAUUUGCUUAAAAGGUGCAAUUGCAUCACUACCAGAUGGACCUGCGUUGUAUUAGCUAGUUGGUGAGGUAACGGCUCACCAAGGCAACGAUACAUAGCCGACCUGAGAGGGUGAUCGGCCACACUGGGACUGAGACACGGCCCAGACUCCUACGGGAGGCAGCAGUAGGGAAUCUUCGGCAAUGGACGGAAGUCUGACCGAGCAACGCCGCGUGAGUGAAGAAGGUUUUCGGAUCGUAAAGCUCUGUUGUAAGAGAAGAACGAGUGUGAGAGUGGAAAGUUCACACUGUGACGGUAUCUUACCAGAAAGGGACGGCUAACUACGUGCCAGCAGCCGCGGUAAUACGUAGGUCCCGAGCGUUGUCCGGAUUUAUUGGGCGUAAAGCGAGCGCAGGCGGUUAGAUAAGUCUGAAGUUAAAGGCUGUGGCUUAACCAUAGUACGCUUUGGAAACUGUUUAACUUGAGUGCAAGAGGGGGGAGUGGAAUUCCACGUGUAGCGGUGAAAUGCGUAGAUAUAUGGAGGAACACCGGUGGCGAAAGCGGCUCUCUGGCUUGUAACUGACGCUGAGGCUCGAAAGCGUGGGGAGCAAACAGG
rnacentral:rRNA from 1 species